rnacentral:lncRNA from 1 species
GUGCCGCAACCAUGUCUUCGAGGUCAAGCUCGAUUUUCCCUUGUUGUGCUAGCUUCAAGAUGAGAUCUUUCAGUACGAAGCACUUUUCCGUUGGAUGACUGAUGAAAUGGUGGAAUUUACAGUACCUUGGACUAUCAGUACGAUUCAUCUCUUCCGGCCGUCUGCACUUAGGUAGGUCGAUCACCUUUUUGUCAAGCAAGUCUUUCAACAUGGCAACCAUAUCAGAGUCGGGGAAUGGAUAAGUCUUCUCCUCGAGCU